rnacentral:rRNA from 1 species
CGCUGGCGGCAGGCCUAACACAUGCAAGUCGAGCGGAUGAGAGGAGCUUGCUCCUGGAUUCAGCGGCGGACGGGUGAGUAAUGCCUAGGAAUCUGCCUGGUAGUGGGGGACAACGUUUCGAAAGGAACGCUAAUACCGCAUACGUCCUACGGGAGAAAGCAGGGGACCUUCGGGCCUUGCGCUAUCAGAUGAGCCUAGGUCGGAUUAGCUAGUUGGUGAGGUAAUGGCUCACCAAGGCGACGAUCCGUAACUGGUCUGAGAGGAUGAUCAGUCACACUGGAACUGA